GAAAAAAAUAUGGCAGAUUUUUGACUUUCAUAAAUGAGAUUCAAAAGAUGCUAUAGAUAAUAACUUUUUUCUAUUCAUUUUGAACUUUCAUCUGUUUAAACAAUUUCCUCUGUCCUAUUCUUGCAUAGUGUACUGGAGUUGCUCUACAUGAGGAUCUGUAUGUGAUUCCAGUGAUAAGAUAAAUCUAGACAGUGUCAACCCAUAGCAAUAGAAAAGUAUGUUUCUAUUUUCUUAAGAGAAAAUAGCAUGUGUAUUUUCCAUAUCAUCCUGCAGCAAAUAUUCUGUUCUUCUCUUUUGUUAAUGAGAAUGUUGAGACAAUCUUCAUUAUUACCUAAUCUAUUGGGCUGGCCAAUGUCCAAUGCGGUGGACUGUAACAUCAUCAAUACUUAAGAGGAAUAACAUAAUGGGAAUUCUCUACUGUGACAUAGGAGCCUGGAAUAAUAAUGAUGCAAGAGAACAAAAGCCUCAAGGAUGUCAUGAUUCUUCUUCUUUUGCCAAAUUUGAACUGACAAGAGGCUUGAAAAAUAAACAAUUGAAAAUGGCAUUCCUGAAGGCCUGGUGGGUAUUGCAUGACUGAACGUCUGGGGAUGCUGUUCUAUGCUGUCUCAUGAGUCAGAGGAUGAGAAGAUGGGCCCCAGGUGCCUUGCAGUCCACUGCACCUUAAAGAUUGCUGACACUAAUCCACAUAGCACCAUGCUGUCAAGUCUGAUGACUCCAGGGAAGCUGCUGAUGUAAAGCAUAAACAGCCCAAGGGAGAUAACUGUGCUUAGUGAUAAAAAUGCACAAUAUUCCUUCAAUUGUAAUUUAUUCCAAAUUUCCUUCCAGAGCAUGUCCUGGUAAAUUGCUUAGAUUUGAGUGAAAAAUAAACUGAAAAUGAAAGAAAUUGAAAUAGUGAUAUGAAUUAAAACAUCUGUAAUGU